GAUGAACGCUAGCUAUAGGCUUAACACAUGCAAGUCGAGGGGAAACGGCAUUAUGUGCUUGCACAUUUUGGACGUCGACCGGCGCACGGGUGAGUAUCGCGUAUCCAACCUGCCCUUUACUUGGGGAUACCCCGUUGAAAGACGGCCUAAUACCCGAUGUAAUUCAUUGAUGGCAUCAGAUAUGAAUAAAAGAUUUAUCGGUAAAGGAUGGGGAUGCGUCUGAUUAGCUUGUUGGUGAGGUAACGGCUCACCAAGGCGACGAUCAGUAGGGGUUCUGAGAGGAAGGUCCCCCACAUUGGAACUGAGACACGGUCCAAACUCCUACGGGAGGCAGCAGUGAGGAAUAUUGGUCAAUGGGCGCAAGCCUGAACCAGCCAAGGAGCGUGCAGGAAGACGGCCCUAUGGGUUGUAAACUGCUUUUAUACGAGAAUAAUUUGAUGCACGUGUGCGUUAUUGCAUGUAUCGUAUGAAUAAGGACCGGCUAAUUCCGU
rnacentral:rRNA from 1 species